rnacentral:SRP_RNA from 1 species
UCUGUGCAUGGUAGCGUGUCCUGUAAUCUAGCUACUCGGAGGUCAGGGUGCGUGAUUUCAUGGGACCGGGAGUUCUGUCACAUAGGUACUAAGCACGGCGCCGAUAUGGAUGACCUGUCGAAGGGCGGUCUGUUCAGGUCAUCUGAGGAGAGGUGAACCGGCCCAGGGAGGAAACCCAGCAGGCAAAAUUCCCCUUGUUGUGCGGCAGCGGGAUAGUGCCUGUGAAUGGUAUCCAUAUGACAGGAAAAAACAUUUCCAC